GCUGAAACACAGGUUCCCGUGUGAUCAACGCAGUUAAGCAACUUCGAGCCGAGCCAUACCUAGAUGGGUGACCGUGUGUGAAUACCAGGGGAUGUAAG